CAGUAGCCGCGGGAAUAGGAAGGGGGCUAGCGUUGUUCGGAUUUACUGGGCGUAAAGGGUGCGUAGGCGGAUUGUUAAGUCAGGGGUGAAAUCCCGAGGCUCAACCUCGGAACUGCCUUUGAUACUGGCGAUCUUGAGUCCGGGAGAGGUGAGUGGAACUGCGAGUGUAGAGGUGAAAUUCGUAGAUAUUCGCAAGAACUCCAGUGGCGAAGGCGGCUUACUGGCUCGAAACUGACGCUGAGGCGCGAAAGCGUGGGGAGCAAACAGGAUUAGAUACCCCGGUAGUCCCUGUCUCUUAUAC
rnacentral:rRNA from 1 species